UAAUCGCGUGGCAGGAUCGAAGAACGAAAAAGGGAUCAAGCGUGGCUUUUACCAGGAAUUUCCCACUCGAUCCCACUCGAUUCGUUUCUAUUAACGUGGAAUUCUUUGGUUAUCUGGUAACGGGAUAACCGGGAGAGAACGUUCACAUUUUAACCGCCUUCACCCUUUUUUUUCCCCUCCCCCCGUGGAAUCGGGUGAGAUUCGUGACUGGACAUCCUACUCCGCGAUUAUCAGGAUCGAAACCGGUACCGAUUGGAUGGGAGUGUGCACGAUUUUCGAACUCUCCGUGCAUUCUCCCCGUUUCCUCGUUUCAACGGCUCCACCACGUCCAUUUCACGCUAUAUUUUCAACCGUCUCUCUGUCGUAUAUCAAGAUCUCCACCAAGAUCUCAGUCACGCUCGUUUCACCGCGUUUUUAAUCUCGUUGCACGGAUGCAACUAGAGUCGCGGCAUCUUCAACGAUUUAAUAAUCCAUCCCACGCGAAUAUCGUGGACUGCUUAAUCAACCGCCCGCGUAUCGGCUGACUUUGAUCUUCAUCCAUAGAUGUCGGUUAAUGUAUUCGAUCACCGAAGACUAGCCCCAGAUAUUGCUGUAGGCGUCCUCCCAUCCGACUGGUUCUCUGCCUCUGAUUAGAGGGGAAUGCAGAAUAUAAUCCGCGUGCAUUGUUAAUCGAUUCUCCACGCGGAGAGAUCUUUAGUGGCCACGUUGAAAUCGCAUCGAGAAAAUUGUAUCGAAUAAUCGCAACGCUACGAAAACCUCGUUCCUUUCUACGAUUCUCGCCCGCUCGAGAUGACUCUCCCGGAUUUAUAUCCGGUUAGAUUCUUCCACGAAUAUGCGUUUCCACGUCGUAGAAAACGUGAAACGUUGCACGAGAUCUAUCGACGAUCUAGGGAGGAGAAAUUCGAUUCGAUCGAUUCGUAUGUACGUACAAUUCUCCGUUACGAUUCUCUCUUUCCGAUUGAACGAAUGAUCUUUUCCUUUCUUUCUUUC